rnacentral:tmRNA from 1 species
GGGGAUGAUCGGUUUCGACGACGGUCGUAGGUUCAGGAGAAGCGGGUCGAGGAUGCGCAGUCAUCUCGUCAACGCUCUGCGCGAACCAAUAGGUGCCGAUAACACUCGCACCGACUUCGCCCUCGCCGCCUGAGUGAGCCUCGAAGUCCGUCAGCCCGGGAGCGCUUCCGCCCCGGUUCCUGGCGUCAUCUAGGGAGCCACUGCUGAGAUCCCGUGUCGGUAGGGUUCUUGGGACUUUUCAUCGACUGAGCCUGUCGGCGUCCUUGCUCGCGUGAGACGCCGGGGCUGAGAAAAACGCUAGCGAGCUGCACCCGGAGAAGUCCUGUUGUGCGCCCGUCGGACGGGGGUCUCGAUUCCCCCAUCUCCACA